CUCUCUCUCUCUCUCUCUCUCUCUCUCUCUCUCUCUCUCUCUCUCUCUCUCUCUUCGUCCCUCCAAAGAAAUAACUCUCUUCGGAGCCAACGUAAGAAUCUUAAAAAUUGGAAAAUUGGUGAUCGUUUUUUAUUCCCAAAGAUACGGACAGAAAGUUGUUGUAGGUGUUCUCGGACUCAGCAGUGAGAGCCGUGUUCCCCCAGCUGUAACGUGCUUUGUUUUAGUGGCUCUGGGAUCAUGGAAGACACUGCGCGAGUACCGAACGUUCUGCGAUAUAUUGUACAAAUAUUUUAUCCUUCUAAGAUCAUGGACUGUUGCUAGUUUCCUCGAUGAUUAACAAAAGAUCAAAAAAGAAAAAGAAAGAAAGGAAGAUUUUUGAGGAUCGUCAUAAAUACUUCGUCGUUGAUGUUACGUGCCUUACGAAGUAGGACGUUUCAUCAAUUAGAUUUCUCCUAAUCGUUCUUUAUGUCAUGCAAUCGAAAUUUAAUAUGUGUGAUAUCAGAAACUGAAAAUGUAAAUAUAACCAUACUCAUCGUGAGCAAACGUAUACGUGAUUAAAUCAAAGUCCAAAACGUUUGGAAAUUUUUGGUGUCGUUGGCAAUAUUGCACCUGCCACACGAAAUAUUGCCGAUGGCUCGAAACAACGGCACGGCAACAGCAUCGAGCAAGAACGGACCGCUUUUGCUGGUAUUAUAAUCGCCGUUGCAAGAUUCCCGACUAAACCGCCGUUCACCUCGACCAUUUUAUACUUUCUAAAGCCGCUUACUUUCGUAACUUGGCAAAUACCGUGGUGGCCUCGUUGUAUCUCUACCAUUGCCGAGUUCUACACAGUUAGCAUUUAUAUGUGUGUCCAAGUUGAAGUUUUCUUUCCUUUACUCUAUACUAGCAUAUAGUAAUGCAUAAUUAACAUGCGUAAUACAUACGUAUACGAAGAAUUUGUUUUUCUUUAUUUCAUUUAUCGUUUCUUUUUUCUAUUUGUUUAAACAUUUUUUUCUACUUUUUUCUUCUUCUUCUUUUUUUUUUUAAGGAAAAUCUAACGUUGCAUCGUUAUUAACUUUUUUACUCGAACGAUAGAUCAUCUGCGCUUAUUCAUAUCUCUUGCGCAAUGACUAUUGCGCUGUUGUAAUAUCACUUAACAAAGUACAUACGUUUCAAGAAUUCAUUUUAUCGAGAUAAUUGCAAUUAAAACGAUGAUUGUCAGAGAGAAGAGGAGGAGGAGAAAAAAAAGAAGAAGAUAUAUGUAUCUACGUAAUUUUGUACAAUUCCAAGAAUAAUUGCAGUAGUUUAUAAUCGAUGACAUAGCAAACGUUUCUAAGAUAAUAACGAUCAUAUAAAAGUUACUUUAUAUAAAAGUAUUAAAUGAUAAAAGAAUUGAUAACGAUUAAAGUGGUGGGUAACUUUAUCUUAAUAGAAAAGGAGAGAGAGAGAGAAAGAUGAGAGGCUAACAGGACUAUGGAGGUAAGUUUGGAAAGUUACGGUUCGUCGUGAAUAAAAAAAAUCAAACGAGGCGGAGAGAAAGAUAGAAGUGUGUUAUGUAUCUACGUGCAUAUACAUGAGAAAUAGAGAGAGAGAGAGAGAAAGAGAGAGAGAGAGAGAGAGAGAGAGAGAGAGGCGGAGAGAGGAAGAGAGGGAGAGAGAGAGACCAACGGAUCCGGUACAAGGGACGUUCGAAUUUGACCCGUAGAUCGACUCGUUUUUAACCCUUCGUCAUCAUCAUGAUCUCUUGUCUUUUUUCCCUCCCCCCUCGCCACCCUUUUCUAUUUUUCUUUUCUUUUCGUUUCAUUUUUUUUCCUUUCCUUAUUCUUCACAGAAAGGAUCUCCAAUUAUAUUUUUCAAAUUGUUUUUUUUUUUCUUUUCCUUUUUCUUUUUUCUUGUAGGUAUUACGUCAGAGUUAUACUCUAUAGUUAUGUAAAUUUAUUAAAAAUAUGUAGAUAUGGUGAGUUCGUUCAAUUGAUCAGGAUACGUGCGGUUAACAAUACGACGACGGAGUACGGAUACAUCGAGUAUUAUUAUUUUGCUCGUGCGUUUUUUUUUCUUCUAUUUUUUUUGUCAUUUUUUUUAUUUUCUUUUUUUUCGGAUUUUUUUUUUUCUAUCUUGACUAAACUUAUUACGGAAGCGCAGCUGGCGGCGUCGGGCUGCAUUGUAAAUUUAUCACCGAAACAUGCCUCUGGAGAAUUUCGUUUGUAACAGGACACAAAUCGUUGCGAAGGUAAUACACUGAUGAAAAUGAGAUUCUACGGGUGAAAUAUUUUAAUCUAGUAAUUUUUAUUUAUACGGUUAAUUUCUUUCGGGAUUAGAACAUUUGGCUUUAAAGUGUUUAAUAAAAUUUUAAUUUUUGAUUUGCUAAAUUUGAAUCGUUGACUAGUAGGAGAAUUCAUAAACUAAAUUCGUCUGGAUCAUAUCAUCGUAUUAGAUUUUGACUUUACGACGUAACACUUUAACCUACUCCUCAGCGAUACUGUUUUACGAUCACUGAAACAAUAAUCGAAGAUUCGUUCGUAGUAAUCGAUGUUAAAACAACAAAAAUUACUUUCGAAGAAAGUAGUCGUAUAAGUUAAAAACAGACAAUUUCCUAUAGCACGAUCUCUAAGAAGUUUUACAUCAAACGCAAUUAUAUUAUAUCUAACGAUAUAGUAUAUGAGUAUAAGAUCUCUCGUAUGCUUUUACGAUUUCGUGUUAAAUACUGUAGAUGUGUUACUCGCUUAACGACAGAACUUGAAGAAAAAAAGAAAGAAAAGAAAAAAGGAAAAAAAAGAAAAAAUUUUUUUUAUUAAAUUCUAAAAUAAGUAGAGAAUGUAUCUCGAAUUUGAUGACACGUUAGUUAUAUUUGAACGAUCGAUUCAAGAUGGGAAAAGGAAAUAAGAAAAUUUAACAAAGAAACAUUGAAACUUCGUAAUACUUUGGAAGAUAUCAUGCAAAUCUUCUUAUUCAACAUAAUUGUCUCUCUUUCUCUUUCUCUUUCUCUUUCUCUUUCUCUCUUUUACACAUAUACAUAUACAUAUAUAUGUAUAUAUAUGUAUAUAUGCAUACACACGUAUGAAGAUGCAAACCGAAAGCAAAACUUACGAAGCAGUGCUUUCAUAGAUGCAGUGGCCCAGUUUGUAGAGAGCUACUACGAAGGCAGUCUCUGUUGGAGAGUGGGCGGGGAGGAUUCGUAUCUGUGUCACAGCACACGCGCUCUGUAAUCGGAACUUUUCAUCGCCGGCGUUCUCUGUGUUCUUGGCCCGUUUGCACUUUGCACGAAUGGAGAUCGUUCAAAUGGAAGAUUCAGAGUCGUGCUUAGAUCAUCGCCAAUACACAUCAUUAUGAUAGAAGAUAGAAAAAAGAGUUAAGAAAUCUUUUAUACAAAUCUCUGUCUAUCUAUCUCUCUUUCUCUCUCUGUCUCUAUCUUUUUUUUACUUGAAUUUUAUUUUAAAUAUUAUGUCGGAAAUGAUUAUUCCGAUGUUUCUAUUCUAUCAUUGAAAUAAUCAUACCGGCACGAUGAUUUCGAUCAACGAAAGGAUAUUACGAAACAACGAAAGAAUAGUUAGAAACAGCAGGAAACGUGAGAAGAGUGUCGAGUCCGAGGUAAAACGAACCGUAACUUCUUACGUGAAUGCAAAUUCGUUAAAUAAGCAUACUUCGUAAGGAGUCGGAGCGAAAACUCGUUUUCAAGCUUACUCUUCCCAAACGGAAUAACGUUGAACAUUUAACGCACUUAUAUAUAUAUAUAUAUAUAUAUAUAUGUAUGUAUAUAGGUAGAUAGAAGUAUUAUUAUCGCGUGACAUCUUGGUUCAUUCGAAAAAUACAGCUGUCUCUCUGAUAUAAUACCUAUAAGAGAGAACGUUUAGAUUGGAAUAUAUACUCACAAUAUAUGAAUACUUUCACCUCGAUACGAGCUGGUUCUUAUUGAUCGUCACAAAGUGGUAGAACCUGCAUUCGUUAUGUCGAAAUCGAACUUCUUGUCCAAUGAGAGAGAGAAAGAGAGAGAGAGAGAGAGAGAGAGAGAGAGAGAGAGAGAGAGAGAGAGAGAGAGAGAGAUAGAAAGACCCGUUAGACGACAGAGUAUAAUAUAGAGAGAAAACCGAUAGAGAACGCAAGAGCCAUACGGUUUCUAUCACACCCUUACUCUCUAUGCAUCUUCUAUCUUGUAGAUUUAUUGGACAUUUUACAGAACACCGUGCAUGAACACCUAAUCGACUUAGAUUUUCUAUCCUAUUUAUCGUUAGAAUAACGUAAAUAUAUGAAAGGAAUAAGUAAUAAGUAAUACAUAUUAUUAUAGCUAUCUACUUGCAUAUAUAUAUAUAUAUAUAUAUAUAUAUAUUAGAUUCUAUCUGUAAGAGUUUCAGUAAUAAUCAACAACAUAGUAGACUUUAAUCUUUAUCUUUGUAUAAUUCUUCGUUAAGCGAGUCGAUAUUUACGACACAUUUUUAACAUUUCAUCAACGUCGAUGUAGAAACUAGGAGUAUCAUCGAGAAGAGACCAAAGAUGACGACGAUUCGCAUGAAUUACCGAGAUGUCUACCUUUGUCGGCGAACAAUACGAUCGUGUCAACCCAACGUUAUGUUUCGAACAAAAGCUCUGCUUGCAAAGUGCUCUCUCUCUCUCUCUCUCUCUCUCUCUCACUCUCUCUCACUCUUUCAAUGUUAUGUGUGAAUAUGUAUGCGCCUAUGUCUAUGUGUGCCAUUUUACUUAUACCAUACGUAGCGCAGGCGCUAGAAAUACGCGAAUACUUUCAUAGUUAUGCGUCUGCAACAUCGUAAUCGGGAUGUUUCGUGCUGCACACACGCGCACACAUAUAUACACACACACACACGCACAUAUAUUUGCUGUCCUACAUUUAGUGACUAUAACCACCAAGCCACGGUAUUAUGAACUAGGCCGGAUGACUCCCUCGCGAUUCUAUGCACGCGAAAUUGCAAUUCCACGUCCAAGCAUUGUCUGCUUGGCCUCAACACAACUAAGUUUAAUAAGAAAUUUCGCACGUUGCUUUUUCUUCGCAUUAGUUCAUUAUAUCAUUUUCGCUUAUCAAAUUGUCAAAGAGAAAAAUGAUAUAAACAGAGAAUUACUAAAAAUUUUUUCUUAAAAUGAUAUUCGUCGAAGGACCAUUUAAUCUUAUGUUAUUUUUCUUUUUUUCUUUUACACUUCGAAUAUUAUUAUAUCAUCGUAUUUGUCAUUUAUCAAAAUGAAAAAAGAAAAAAGAAAAAAUGGAAAACAAAGAAAAAAGAAAAAGAAGAAAAAAAAUAUAAAAAUUGGGAACGUCGCCGGCCAUUUUGGUUUCCACGAGUAUAAGUAUCCAUAUCCUGUCUUAAAACGGUACUCGUGGAUGGACAUUUAAUCGUAUACGUUACCGUUACAUCAUGAGGGUAACGUUACGUUAUGAAACAGUGAAAAAAAAAAGAAAGAAGAAAAAAAAAAGAAAAAGAUAGACAUCGAGGGAAGUCAAUGUCAAGGGACAUGUUUUGUUAAUGAAACUAAAGAGAAAAUUUUAAAAUUUUUAAAUGAACUACUAAUUUGAAUUUUAAAACGAACGUAAAAUAUAUAAAUCUAUCAAAGGAUCGUUGUAAUAUUUAAUUAUAUAAGUAAGGAAAUAAAUUCGGUUCGAGAUAAUCUUAAAAUGGAUAGGAAAUUAUGACUUAUUGACUCGACAUAGUGUUCCACUUUUAUCUAAAGUGGUGUCAUACGUCAAAACCUUUCACGCGUGCAAUGCGACGAUGCUUUAUGCUCAUUAUAAAUACAUAUUUAAAUAUAUAUAUAUAUAUAUAUUCAUGUGAAUAUAUACAUAAAUACAUAUAUACUUAUAUAUACAAUCUCGUGUUGGCGUAAAAAAAAAGGACAUCGUUUCGUAGCACGCAUACGUUUACGCGUGGGCGCGAUCGCACGGUAACGCGUGCGGUUUUAGCGCGAUCAUAGUUACGCAUGCACGAACAAGCAACUCUUUAAUCCCGGUUUCAUAUAAUUUUUUAAUGUUACGUAUUAUUUCUGUUUAUUUCUUUUCUUCUUUUUUAAUAUUAAAAUGAACAGAAAACUAUGUUUAUUUUAUAGUUAACAACAAUUUUUUUUCUUUUAAUUCAAAUUUAUUUAUUAAUAAUUAUAUGGUGAAGUUUGAAAUAUUUCAAACAAGUCAAUGAAAAAUUAACACUCUUUAGCACCAUAUAACUUUAAAGUUUUAUAUAUAUAUAUGUUUUAAUCCUCAUUUCAUUAUCUUGCUAAAAAAUUAAACUUUCGCACUAUGAAGACAUCGUUAAAAUGAUAAAACUAUUUUUCCAUAAAACUGUUGAAUCACCUCUGACACUUCACUUUUAAUUAACGAAACGAAUGAAUGAUAAUAAUACAUAGCAAAGUAUUAUUGAAAAAUUGCUCUGUAGAUAUACGUGCAUACAUAACUAAGCAUAUUAUGUAUAUAUAUAUAUGUAUCAAAAGUGAAACGAAUCAAAAUUUUAUUUUUAAUAAUUGUAGUACAAAGGAUUGAUUGUUAUAAGUCCAUUAUAAUUCUUUUGGAUAUAAAAGAAAGAAAGAAAGAAAGAAAGAAAAAAACAAAAUGACGGAAGUAACUUUGAGUCGGAAAAAAAAAAAGUAAAAG